AGAGCGCGACGGGGAGAACCAUCCAGGUCGCUCAUUUCUCUCCGGUGAGAAAACUUCCUCGGGAAGACCGGAAACUUUUUCCUAGGCGCGCGGAGUCUGGGGCGGAGGCGAGCGGCGGGUGUGCGCGACUCGGGGUGAUUCACGCCGGGGACCCCAAGGAGAAGAGGCAAUUCGGACAUAAAGAGAAACAUCAAGGGCAUGAGUGCACAGAGGAAAGACCAUGUGACGGCAUGGCUACAAGGCAGCCAUCUGUAAACCAAGGAGAGAGACCCCAAAGGAAAUCAACCCUGCUGACACCUUGAUCGUGGACUUCUAGCCUCCAGAACUAUGUAGAAACUGCAGCUCAGAGAUGUCCAAGGUCACACU
rnacentral:lncRNA from 1 species